rnacentral:rRNA from 1 species
ACGAGCGCUGGCGGCAUGCUUCAUACAUGCAAGUCGAACGCCCGCAAGGGCGUGGCGGAAGGGUGAGUAACGCGUGGGAACCUGCCUUCGUGUGGGGGAUAACCUGGGGAAACUUGGGCUAAUACCUCAUAUUGCCGAGAGGUGAAAGAUUUAUUGCACGAAGAGGGGCCUGCGUAUGAUUAGCUAGUUGGUGGGGUAAUAGCCUACCAAGGCAAUGAUCAUUAGCUGGUCUGAGAGGAUGUCCAGCCACAAUGGAACUGAGACACGGUCCAUACUUCUACGGAAGGCAGCAGUAGGGAAUUUUGCGCAAUGGGCGAAAGCCUGACGCAGCAAUGCCGCGUGUAGGAAGAAGCAUCUUGGUGUGUAAACUACUGUCAGCGGGGACAAAAUCAAUGAUGGUACCCGCAGAGGAAGCAUCGGCUAACUACGU